GAACAUCGGAAUUACGGAGCGGACGGAUCACGGAUCGAAAUGUUCUUGUGACGUCGGCGUGGAGCGUCCGUCCGCACCAAACUAAACCCAAAGAUGGAUCUCAAAGCUACAUCAACCCACCACCUACACUCGCCCACUUAUUCUUUCCAAGGCUGCAGCUUCUACCUCAGGCCAUGGCCCUUGUGUGAGCCGUCAUUGAGAUGUCAAUCCUGCAAAUACAAAGAUCAGAAGAUCUCCCCUGGACGGCCCGGCAAGCUGUGAUUUCAGUUGUAUCUUUAGUUUUGCAGCAGAGACCUCAAUUACAAUUCCAAAAUGGCCUCCUCGAGAGGCACUGAAGCCGAGUGCAGGCAUACAAAGCUCUCCUUCAACGUGUCGCAAGGUGGUAAGCGCCAUGACCUGCCCUGCAUCUAACCACACACCCCUACAACUAAGGUGUCCCCAUUUUGGGCUCCUGAAAGGUUAAGGGGUGUCAGUGGGAAGUCUUUUGAUCUCUCCAUUGAGUCCAUCACCACCACUGCAA